GCAUCCAGAAUCAAGGCUCUUGGAGCAGAUAACAACCUCUGACUGACAGCCAGCAAGGAAGUGGGAACCUCAGUGCCACUGCUGAAAGGAGCUGAACUCUGCCAACAACUUGAGUAGGCCUGGCAGCGUGUUCUCUCCCAGAGCCUCUACAGAAGAGCCAAGGCCAGGCAGCACCUAGAUUUUGGCCUUGAGAUUGGGAGGAAAGAAGCCAGCUGAGCCCGUCCUACAGAACACAGAAGGUUACAGAAGCAGGUACACAUUAAUUCUCCUCAAUUUGGAGCCUGAGAAAGAUGAUUGAUGGCAGCUCAGCUGCCCUCUGGCCCUCACUCCUGGAGCUUAACCUUUACAUAUGGAUACUAAACAGGCCUGGUGCAAUCCUGAAAAGGAGAGAAACAGAGGGAAGAUGGCUAUGUGAAGACACAGAGGCACAAGGAGAACACCAUAUGAAGAAGAAGACAGAAACUGGAGUGAUGCUUCUACAAGCAGGGAACACCAAGAAUUGACAGCCAUCACCAGAAGCUAGGAGAGGCAUGGAACAGAUGCUCCCUGGGAGCCCUCAGAAGGACCAACGCUGCUGACAUCUCGAUUUUGGAUGGCUAGCCUCCAGAACUGUGAGAAAUAAAUUUCUCUUCUUUUAAGCCACCCAGUUUGUGGAACUUUGUUAUGAUAGCCCUAGAAAACUAAUUAUGGCUCCUAAGAGUAAUAAAAUUUUCCACUUAUAGUGCCCUGACUGUGGCCCAGGUACUCUCCAUGCAUUAUCAUGAAAUCUUUUAAGAGCGCUUCAAGGUCUAUUAUCAUCAAUGGCAUUUUCAUGACUUAUCUUAGGUCAAAUAACUACUAAGUAGUGGAGAUGGGAUUCCAACCCCAGCCCUGAGUUUAAA